UACGAGAGGCCCAAACGUUAUUCGGAUUUACUGGGCUUAAAGAGUUCGUAGGCGGCGCGGAAAGUAGGGUGUGAAAGCCCUCGGCUCAACCGAGGAAUUGCGCUCUAAACUGCCGCGCUCGAGGAACCUAGAGGUGAGCAGAACUGAUGGUGGAGCGGUGAAAUGCGUUGAUAUCAUCAGGAAUACCGGAGGCGAAGGCGGCUCACUGGGGGUUAUCUGGCGCUGAGGAACGAAAGCCAGGGGAGCAAACGGG
rnacentral:rRNA from 1 species